UACGUAGGGACCGAGCGUUGUCCGGAUUUAUUGGGCGUAAAGAGCGUGUAGGCGGCCAGGUAGGUCUGCUGUGAAAACUCGAGGCUUAACCUCGAGAUGUCGGCGGAAACCAUCUGGCUAGAGUCCGGAAGAGGAGAGUGGAAUUCCUGGUGUAGCGGUGAAAUGCGCAGAUAUCAGGAAGAACACCCGUGGCGAAGGCGGCUCUCUGGGACGGUACUGACGCUGAGACGCGAAAGCGUGGGGAGCAAACAGG
rnacentral:rRNA from 1 species